rnacentral:rRNA from 1 species
UACGAAGGGGGCUAGCGUUGCUCGGAAUCACUGGGCGUAAAGCGCACGUAGGCGGAUUGCUAAGUCAGGGGUGAAAUCCUGGAGCUCAACUCCAGAACUGCCCUUGAUACUGGCGGUCUCGAGUCCGGGAGAGGUGAGUGGAACUGCGAGUGUAGAGGUGAAAUUCGUAGAUAUUCGCAAGAACACCAGUGGCGGAGGCGGCUCACUGGCCCGAUACUGACGCUGAGGCACGAAAGCGUGGGGAGCAAACAGG